rnacentral:rRNA from 1 species
CCUACGGGAGGCAGCAGUGGGGAAUAUUGCGCAAUGGGCGAAAGCCUGACGCAGCGACGCCGCGUGAGGGAUGAAGGUCUUCGGAUCGUAAACCUCUGUCAGCAGGGAUGAACGGUCACUGUGCUAAUCAGCAGUGAAUUGACGGUACCUGCAAAGGAAGCACCGGCUAACUCCGUGCCAGCAGCCGCGGUAAUACGGAGGGUGCGAGCGUUAAUCGGAAUUACUGGGCGUAAAGCGCUCGUAGGCGGUAUGUCAAGUCAAGGGUGAAAUCCCCGCGCUCAACGUGGGAACUGCCUUUGAAACUGGCAAACUGGAGUGGGUGAGAGGAUAGUGGAAUGCCAGGUGUAGGAGUGAAAUGCGUAGAUAUCUGGAGGAACAUCAGUGGCGAAGGCGACUAUCUGGCACAUAACUGACGCUGAGGAGCGAAAGCGUGGGUAGCAAACAGGAUUAGAUACCCUUGUAGUC